rnacentral:rRNA from 1 species
GACGAACGCUGGCGGCGUGCUUAACACAUGCAAGUCGAACGAAGUGGCGAACGGGUGAGUAACGCGUAAUCAAUCUGCCCCUCAGGGGGGGACUACAGUUGGAAACGACUGCUAAUACCGCAUACUGAAGGAGGGGCUUGCGUCUGAUUAGGUAGUUGGAGGGGGCACGGCCCACCAAGGCGAUGAUCAGUAGCCGGGCUGAGAGGAUGAACGGCCACAUUGGGACUGAGACACGGCCCAGACUCCUACGGGAGGCAGCAGUGGGGAAUCUUCCGCAAUGGACGAAAGUCUGACGGCGCAACGCCGCGUGAGUGAUGACGGCCUUCGGGUUGUAAAGCUCUGUUAAUCGGGACGCGGUACCGGAAUAGAAAGCCACGGCUAACUACGUGCCAGCAGCCGCGGUAAUAC